rnacentral:rRNA from 1 species
AUUGAACGCUGGCGGCAUGCUUUACACAUGCAAGUCGAACGGUAACAGGCCUUCGGGUGCUGACGAGUGGCGAACGGGUGAGUAAUGCAUCGGAACGUGCCCAGAGGUGGGGGAUAACGCAGCGAAAGCUGUGCUAAUACCGCAUGUGAUCUGAGGAUGAAAGCGGGGGACCAAGCAGCAAUGUUUGGCCUCGCGCCUUUGGAGCGGCCGAUGUCAGAUUAGGUAGUUGGUGGGGUAAAGGCCUACCAAGCCGACGAUCUGUAGCUGGUCUGAGAGGACGACCAGCCACACUGGGACUGAGACACGGCCCAGACUCCUACGGGAGGCAGCAGUGGGGAAUUUUGGACAAUGGGCGCAAGCCUGAUCCAGCAAUGCCGCGUGCGGGAAGAAGGCCUUCGGGUUGUAAACCGCUUUUGUACGGAACGAAAAGGCUCUGGCUAAUACCUGGGGCUGAUGACGGUACCGUAAGAAUAAGCACCGGCUAACUACGUG